rnacentral:sRNA from 1 species
UGUAUAAAACAAAUGAGAAUAAAAUAAGGCUCUUUUAUAUUU